CCCAAUCUCUAAGUCUCGGGCGGCAGCGUCUUGGGGCGGAACUCCCGGAGGGCGGAACUGCCAGCGUACGGGAACAAGCAUCCGGCGGUAGCGGCGAGCAUGAACAACUUGAGGGGUGGGGCUUCGCUCUUUCUCCCUAUAGUCUCCAGCUUCGACGCCAGUCGGGCAGUGUCGUCUCGCCUCGGCGAGACUCGGCUCUCAUAACUCCUCCUCCCGUCUCCCCUCGUCGGAACUUCGCCAUGGCUCAGAAGCCACCGCUCCGCGGGAUGACCAGCCUGCGCUUCAACCAGGACCAGAGUUGCUUUUGUUGCGCCAUGGAGACGGGCGUCCGGAUCUACAACGUGGAGCCGCUGAUGGAGAAGGGGCACCUGGAUCACGAGCAGGUGGGCAGCGUGGCGCUGGUGGAGAUGCUCCACCGCUCCAACCUGCUGGCCAUAGUGGGCGGCGGCGGCAGCCCCAAGUUCUCGGAGAUCUCGGUGCUGGUGUGGGACGACGCCCGCGAGGGCCGAGACAGCCAGGACAAACUGGUGCUCGAGUUUACCUUCACUAAGCCCGCCCUGGCCGUGCGCAUGCGGCACGACAAGAUCGUCAUCGUCCUGCGAAAUCGCAUCUACGUCUACUCCUUCCCCAACGACCCGCAGAAGCUCUUCGAGUUCGACACCCGAGACAACCCCAAGGGCCUGUGCGACCUCUGCCCCAGCCUGGAAAAGCAGCUGCUGGUGUUCCCGGGCCACAAGUGCGGCAGCCUCCAGCUGGUGGACCUGGCGAGCACCAAGCCCGGCACGUCGUCGGCGCCCUUCACCAUCAACGCGCACCAGAGCGAGGUGGCCUGCGUGUCGCUCAACCAGCCGGGCACCGUGGUGGCGUCCGCCUCGCAGAAGGGCACCCUCAUCCGCCUCUUCGACACGCAGACCAAGGAGAAGCUGGUGGAGCUGCGGCGCGGCACCGACCCGGCCACCCUCUACUGCAUCAACUUCAGCCACGACUCCUCCUUCCUCUGCGCCUCCAGUGACAAGGGCACGGUCCACGUCUUCGCCCUGAAAGACACCAGACUCAACCGAAGAUCCGCCCUGGCUCGCGUGGGCAAGGUGGGCCCCAUGAUCGGCCAGUACGUGGACUCGCAGUGGAGCUUGGCCAGCUUCACCGUGCCCGCCGAGUCCGCCUGCAUCUGUGCCUUUGGCCGGAACACGUCCAAGAACGUCAACUCCGUCAUUGCCAUCUGCGUGGACGGCACCUUCCACAAGUACGUCUUCACCCCCGAUGGGAACUGUAACCGGGAGGCCUUCGAUGUGUACUUGGACAUCUGCGACGACGACGACUUCUGAGAGCCGCAGCCUCCCGCUCCUCCCCAUCCCCCACCCGCUGGGGGCCUUCUCACUCAUUCAGGUGAGGCAGGGUAGCAUCAUUCAACUUUAGGACUAGAAAGGAUCUCGAAUAUAGCUCCCUCACCUUUUCUUUGAUGAAAUAAGUCCCAGUCACAGUGCCUGGCGCAAAGUAUUGCCUGGAUGAUAUCCUUACACCACUUCUUACAUGCAGGUAGGUCAUUGUUGGAAAUGGUGCUUUGGUCUACUUGUGCUCACCACGCACCUCUCCAUUGCCUUUUAGUUGACCUGCAAUUUUGAUUUGCCGGAGAUUGUGAUAUUCCAGCAUUCACAGCCAUACCAUACAGCAUCGCCAUGAAAACUAAUUUUUGAAAGCUGGGAUUUUGUGUCAAGGAGCAGCUUGGUAUCAUUUAAAGGACUGGGAAUUUUUCAAGUGCAAUGCAGCUUGCUCUCUUGCAGCUAUUCAAUUCUGAGCCCAACUUAAUUGACCAGUGAGCGGCAUGUCAUAAUCUGGACAAUAGCACUUUUUGGUGCCUUUGCAUUUUUCUUGUACUCUUGUUUGAGUAAUCAUGGAUCUCAUUGAAGAAGCUUAAUUGGGACUUGACACAAUCAGUAUGAUAUUAUUCUAAAAGAGGAACAUCUGGAGUACCUAAUCCUAAGGCAUUCCAGAAGCAUCUACAUGGACCCUAUCAGAAUAUCCUCCAUGAUGGUGGCAAACACCUUUAGUAAGCAUUCUGUUUUGUGCUUUAAUUUACAUUAAUAAUCAGGGGGUUAUUGAACAGUUAUUUGUGUUUGCAUUUAACUCGGAUCUUGGAUGAUCUUUAACACAUACAUGAGAAUCUUCUUGUGGGAGAGGACCUUUAAAGGUUGUGUUUUGCCUUUUUUUAAUCAGCAAACAAUAAAUAUAAUGAGAUCUUU